rnacentral:rRNA from 1 species
UCAGGCCUAACACAUGCAAGUCGAACGGCAGCAUGGAGAGCUUGCUCUCUGAUGGCGAGUGGCGAACGGGUGAGUAAAGCAUCGGAACGUACCGUGUAAUGGGGGAUAACGUAGCGAAAGUUACGCUAAUACCGCAUACGACCUGAGGGUGAAAGCAGGGGAUCGCAAGACCUUGCGUUAUACGAGCGGCCGAUGUCAGAUUAGCUAGUUGGUAGGGUAAAGGCCUACCAAGGCGACGAUCUGUAGCGGGUCUGAGAGGAUGAUCCGCCACACUGGGA